CUCAAUUAUGGCCACAAAGUUCUUGAAAUAUCUAACUCUUGGUGGUUCGAUACAAUUUCUUAACCUUUCUGGUGCUACAAGGAAAGGAUUGUUUGUGAUGUGUAUUUUGGUUAUACCAAGGUUGAUCGAUUCCCUUUAGAAUGCAUUUGAAAUUAUUGUUAAAAAUGUAAGCUCCACUACCUACGGCUACGUAUAAUAAACAAAUGCAUAACUCGCAAACAAUCCUUUUCUUGUUGGAGUGUUGAAGAAAUUAUAUAGUACUAGUGGAAAGACCUGCACCUGCAGAUGGAACUUGGAAUCUUUGAGAAACUCCAAAACCCAGAUUAAAGCUUCCUUAGACCUUACCAUUGGAUUGCCUGCAUCAAUCAUGGAGACCAAAACUGCUGAUCCAUUAUUUUCUGUCCAAACUAUGAAAGAACUGGGAACACGAAAGGGGUUGGUGAAGGUCAUGUUUCUAUUUAUUUGGUGCUUAUGGACUCAAGUUCGUUACCUGCUGAUUGGGAGGUCAAUGCAAUUGCAAAUUUUUCUGCAUAUAAUUUCAUUGACGACGAGUAUGUUACUACUCAAGAUACAAAUGUAAGCGUUUCCAUGUGCUGAGAACUGAGUGGGGUGUCACAAAAUUCAUUGACAUAGACACAAACCCUUCAAAUGGAUUAUCUGAUGGACGAUACCUGUGUGUUUGGAGCUGAGGUUUUCGUUGCCAAGACCACGAAUAAAGGCGAUUGUUUAUCUAUGAUUCAUGGUUCUAUCCCUCUUACCCAUAGUUGGAAAUUUAAUAGCUUUUCCUUGGCAAAAUCAGACAAGUACGAAUCUGAAUCAUUUGUCGGUGGAAACUAUAAAUGGUAUAUAUACAAAUACUUUUAAGUUUCAACUUUCU